rnacentral:tRNA from 1 species
GCACCUGUAGCUCAAAGGCAGAGCAUUCCGCUAGAUCGGAAGGUUUAGAGGUUCGAAUCCUCUCGGGUGCU